GCUGGGCAUGGUGGCUUGUGCCUGUAGUCCCAGCUACUUGGGAGGCUGAUGCAGGAGGAUCUUUUGAGCCCAGGAGGUCUAGGCUGCAGUGAGCCAUGAUUGUGCCACUGCAUUCUGGCCUGGAUGACAGAGUGAAACCUUGCCUCUG
ensembl:misc_RNA Metazoa_SRP Metazoan signal recognition particle RNA